rnacentral:rRNA from 1 species
CUUUUACAAUGAAGAGUUUGAUCCUGGCUCAGGAUGAACGCUAGCUACAGGCUUAACACAUGCAAGUCGAGGGGCAUCGGG